rnacentral:lncRNA from 1 species
GCCUCCUCGGCUCCGCUCUAAAAUCCACCAUCCUCCAGCUCCAAGAAGGCAAGAACCCGGCAAGUGGCGAGCCGCCAGCUGGAUCUCCUCUCCAGCUCUUGGGCCUCCCCUGCUCCAAAGUCUGGAUCUCCUCUCCAGGUCUUGGGCCGCCCAUGCUCCGGAGUCCAGAUCUCCUCUCCAGCUUUCCUCGCCGUCCUCGGCUCCUCCAACCUCCGGGCUCCGCCGCUCCGGCCUCCUUGGCUCCGCUCUAAAGUCCACCGUCCUCCAUUAGCAGCCCAGGCAGUGGUGAGAAUCUAUAAUCUAGAUGUAUGUAUGGCUGGAGGUAUAUGUUUGUUUAACUUUUAAUCUAGGUCCGAAGAUUAUUUGGUUACAUAUCUCAAGCUACCGAAAGUGACUCUCUAUUUUUCUUUUUCUUUUUUUUUUUGAGGAGAAGCAAAUCAAAGGUGACUUGAAAAAGAAAAUGUUUUUUUAAAUAAAAGAGAGAGAUAUAGGAGCGAAUUCAAGAUCCUUGGGUCACACACUGUUCUAUCAAUUUAAAGUUUAGUGAUGAAGUAAAUGAUUUUUAACAAAGUUGAUCAGGGAUUCUGAUGAUUCAGUUUAGUGUGAACUGAGAAUUUUGCAGUGCAGUAGUUUGAUUUGGUUCAACCAGGAAAGAGAGGUUUCAUUAGAGGUCCAUUAGAAAUCAUAAGGUUGAGUCAAACAUAGACUUUGGGAGAAGUUGAUAGAUUUUAGAUGCUUUUUAGCUAGGUCUGAAUCAAUUAAGAAAUUGUUUUGAGGAUG